rnacentral:piRNA from 1 species
UUGCCUUUGCCAAAGAAAA